rnacentral:lncRNA from 1 species
AGUGGCGCGAUCUCGGUUCACUGCAAGCUCCGCCUCCCGGGUUCACACCAUUCUCCUGCCUCAGCCUCCUGAGUAGCUUGGACUACAGGCGCCCGCCACCACACCCUGCUAAUUUUUUGUAUUUUUAGUAGAGAUGGGGUUUCACUGUGUUAGCCGGGAUGGUCUCGAUCUCUUGACCUCGAGGAUUCAGCUUCUUCCUAGUUCAGUCUUUGGAAGGUGUGUGUGUCCAGGAAUUUAUCCAUAUCUUCUAGAUUUUCUAGCUUAUUAGUACUUUCCCUUUUGUUACUACUAUGCUACUACUGCUGUGCUUCCUUGCUGACGGUUCCAGUUCCUAUCGCUGUGUAACAAACUACCUCAUUUUUGCACAAUUGGUUCAAAUUACACAUCCUUCUUUUUUACUACUAGCUUUUUUCACUUAAUAUAGUGU